AUUGCUAAUUCAAGCGGAAUUCACCUGUAUAAGUUUUUGAAGCGCCAAAAGUUUGAAGAAACACUAAAAAAAUAUCGUCAUCUGACGUCCCUUUUUUGCUACCUGAAAAAACUGUCACCCGAAUUUUAGGUCGUGAGAAGUCAGUUUCCAUCAUCAAAUUGCAGGAGCAAGCAACAUUCGGCUAUUUUUCAAAUGCCUGUAAUUAACUUUUGCUUUGGAUGAGCACGGUGCCAACUGAAUACUUAGCACUGCCUGGGUUAAAAGAGAUGAUGAUAUUGUUGAUUCUUUCCAGGACCCCUAGGGGAUCAAUCACUUCAUGUUUAUUGAGCGCCUCAAAUUCCUUCCUUUGAAGUUUCAUUAUAUGAGCACAAAUUAAUCUGUGAUUCGAGUAUCACUUGCUUAAAAAGUCGCUUGGGUGAGUAAAUUAUAAUUGUCGUGAAAAGAAAAGAAAAGUGUUAAAUUAUUAUCCUUAUUGCAUUGCACAUUGCUACAAGAGGAACGUAACACAUUUGACAUAGACACAUUCUCUUUGAUGUUCAUAUGUCCCAUGUUUGUUAUCUUUUCUGUCUACUUUGUUGUGCUCUUACUGAUGAGCAUGUAAAGAAUGUACUGAUUGACCAAUGACGAGUACAGUGAUUUAUACGUUGGCUGAAUUUUUGAUUUACUGUUUUCUGCUUUUCUUAGAAUUUUACCUAUCUAAGUUUCUGCCAACCACCUCUAUCCUCACAUAAUAACGUCUCACCUAGAAGUACGGCUUCUAUUGAAUUUCCACAUCACCUACAUCAGGCUUUCUUCUGUAACUGAAUGAAAUAUUACACUCAAAUAUAGUAAAUUAUAAUUAGUUUUGAUGUAUUGUUAUUAUUAGAAUAAUAUGCUAUUUAUAUUAGGACGUAGGGCCAAAGGAGUAUAAUUUAUGAGCCAAUUGGCCAAACAUGCACAUGGGUGUCAACCGUUAGGUGGGCAAUAAUGUAUUGAUCUUGAUGGUUAGCAACCAUUAUUUUGUGAUUAAUUCUAGGCUACAUUCAGAAAUUGCUUAUACUGCCUCUCCCAUACUAUGGUUGGAACUUGGAAAAUUAGGGUCAUCCAAACAUUUGCAGUGCCAAGUUCCACUUAAGAUCUUGUAGUAUGAACCCAUUUUGCAUAAGCCCUUAAGCUCGCCCACCCGAUUCUUGAGCCCCCUUUACAAGCUUGUGCUAGAAUUUUCUUUAGUGUUACCUUUUUUUAAAUCCAUGUUUGGGGUAAUUUUUUUUUUCGUGGGUGUGAAUUUUGUGAAGAGAUUCAUGUCAACAAAGACAAGGGCGUUUAGCACACAUGAAGUAAUGGACCAUUGGAGUAGGCUCAUUGAUUAUGAAUGAUUUAUAGCCCGGAGAAUUAAUGCUCGAAAAUCUUAUUUAUAGUUAUAGCGGUCAUUUUCUUACCUGUUUCAAUGAAUGCAAGAGCAUAAAAUUGAAUUGAUAUAUGUAUCAAAAUAUAAUGUUGCAUUUUUGGCCUGCUUGGACUAUAAGGAAUAUCGUACCUUAAGCUUCAUAGAGUCGCUUAUUGAAAUUUUUACUUAAAAUUUUCUGUGAUUUAAUCCUAUGAAUGUAAAUACCUCUCAUUUAAAACUGAUGGCAUACCAAGAAUUAUCUAUUUUGUAGGCGUGUUGAUUGGAUACAUGAUGGAAUUUUUAGCCUCCUACAAAUCUCUAUUCGGCCAAAGUGGG